rnacentral:rRNA from 1 species
AGUGAACGCUGGCGGUAGGCCUAACACAUGCAAGUCGAACGGGAGCACAGUAAGAGCUUGCUCUUACGGGUGGCGAGUGGCGGACGGGUGAGGAAUACAUCGGAAUCUACUUUUUCGUGGGGGAUAACGUAGGGAAACUUACGCUAAUACCGCAUACGACCUACGGGUGAAAGCAGGGGAUCUUCGGACCUUUCGCGAUUGAAUGAGCCGAUGUCGGAUUAGCUAGUUGGCGGGGUAAAGGCCCACCAAGGCGACGAUCCGUAGCUGGUCUGAGAGGAUGAUCAGCCACACUGGAACUGAGACACGGUCCAGACUCCUACGGGAGGCAGCAGUGGGGAAUAUUGGACAAUGGGCGCAAGCCUGAUCCAGCCAUACCGCGUGGGUGAAGAAGGCCUUCGGGUUGUAAAGCCCUUUUGUUGGGAAAGAAAAGCAGCAGGUUAAUACCCCGCUGUUCUGACGGUACCCAAAGAAUAAGCUCCGGCUAACUUCGUG